AUUGAACGCUGGCGGAAUGCUUUACACAUGCAAGUCGAACGGCAGCACGGACUUCGGUCUGGUGGCGAGUGUCGAACGGGUGAGUAAUGUAUCGGAACGUGCCCAGUCGUGGGGGAUAACGUAGUGAAAAUUACGCUAAUACCGCAUACGAUCUAUGGAUGAAAGCGGGGGAUCGCAAGACCUCGCGCGAUUGGAGCGGCCGAUAUCAGAUUAGGUAGUUGGUGGGGUAAAGGCCCACCAAGCCAACGAUCUGUAGCUGGUCUGAGAGGACGAGCAGCCACACUGGAACUGAGACACGGUCCAGACUCCUACGGGAGGCAGCAGUGGGGAAUUUUGGACAAUGGGCGAAAGCCGGAUCCAGCCAUUCCGCGUGCAGGAUGAAGGCCCUCGGGUUGUAAACUGCUUUUGUACAGAACGAAAAGGUUUCUACUAAUACUAGGAGCUCAUGACGGUACUGUAAGAAUAAGCACCGGCUAACUCUGUGCCAGCCGCCGCAGUAA
rnacentral:rRNA from 1 species